GACGAACGCUGGCGGCGUGCUUAACACAUGCCAGUCGAACGGAAAGGCCCUGCUUUUGUGGGGUGCUCGAGUGGCGAACGGGUGAGUAACACGUGAGUAACCUGCCCUUGACUUUGGGAUAACUUCAGGAAACUGGGGCUAAUACCGGAUAGGAGCUCCUGCUGCAUGUUGGGGGUUGGAAAGUUUCGGCGGUUGGGGAUGGACUCGCGGCUUAUCAGCUUGUUGGUGGGGUAGUGGCUUACCAAGGCUUUGACGGGUAGCCGGCCUGAGAGGGUGACCGGCCACAUUGGGACUGAGAUACGGCCCAGACUCCUACGGGAGGCAGCAGUGGGGAAUAUUGCACAAUGGGCGGAAGCCUGAUGCAGCAACGCCGCGUGCGGGAUGACGGCCUUCGGGCUGUAAACCGCUUUCGCCUGUGACGAAGCGUGAGUGACGGUAAUGGGUAAAGAAGCACCGGCUAACUACGUG
rnacentral:rRNA from 1 species